rfam:Triticum aestivum genome assembly, contig: Triticum_aestivum_CS42_TGACv1_scaffold_605217_7DL
UUAAAGGCUUUUUUUAAGGCCAUAAAUGGUCUUUAAUAGGUUAAA